rnacentral:tRNA from 1 species
UCCGGGGUAGCUCAGCUGGCAGAGCAAUCGGCUGUUAACCGAUUUGUCGUGGGUUCGAGCCCCACCCCCGGAG